rnacentral:rRNA from 1 species
UGAAUAUACCGGUUCUCGUUCGAUCACCGAAGUCAAGCAUCAUCGGGCGCGAUUAGUACUUGGUAAGGUGACCACCUGGGAACACCGCGUGCCGUUG